rnacentral:rRNA from 1 species
UACGUAGGGUGCGAGCGUUAAUCGGAAUUACUGGGCGUAAAGCGUGCGUAGGCGGUUCGUUAAGUUCGUUGUGGAAGCCCCGGGCUCAACCUGGGAAUGGCAAUGGAAACUGGCGGGCUGGAGUAUGGCAGAGGGGGGUGGAAUUCCGCGUGUAGCAGUGAAAUGCGUAGAGAUGCGGAGGAACACCGAUGGCGAAGGCAGCCCCCUGGGCCAAUACUGACGCUCAGGCACGAAAGCGUGGGGAGCAAACAGG